rnacentral:snoRNA from 1 species
GGCCUCCUGGUGCUUACCACAGGCUGUGUUCUUCACUUACUGUAUAGAUACAGAGGAGGGAAAGUAACCUACACAAUACACAGUUCAACUCAGACCCUAUGCCUGGUCUGUAUUGUGAAUGGGAAGACAUAG